UCCAUUAUGUAAUCCUACUGAAGGCCUGU
rnacentral:sRNA from 1 species